AGACACGGUGGCCGAUUAGAGUCUGCUGCAGGCAUUGCCAAGUUUCAAACCAAGGAGUUCAGAAUCUCGGUGCUGGUGCUCUAGCGGAAUAUCCCCCACAUGUGUGUCAUUUAAUGGCACACAUUUUAUCUUGUCCUUAUAUUUUGGUCCAGCCUUAAUUAUACAUGGAAAGCAGAGGCACAUAGCCAUCUUCGACAAAGUCCUUUCAGGUGGUGACAGGACAAUCCUUAUGGGCCAACAGCAGCUGCUUCAAGUGAGCAACCUCGUUUCGUAAGAGAGAGACCUCGGUCUGACGAACACGCACACAGACGCAAGCACAAUCAGACCUCGUCACGGAGGAUAUUCCAGGUAUGACCCAACUAUUCCUGGAAAUGCUCAUUUACCUACAAAAGGAAGAAGGAAACUGUUCUUCUGCUGUGACUGAAUCAUUCUAGCAAACUGCUAUGACAAAACAACUUUAUUUUCUUUUAUUCAAUGUAUUAUUUUAUUUUUUAUGCUGGGUUAUUUAUUGGGGUUUUAUUUUAUCUUGUCUUUAUAUUUGGUCAGAUUUAUAUUUUCAUUUUUAUCGCUGUAAGGUAGGUUAAAACUGUCUUUUAUGCUGGGUUAAAGGUUACACAGCAACCUUUA